CAGCAGUCGAGAGGCUUCGGCAAUGGGGGAAACCCUGACCGAGCGACGCCGCGUGAGUGACGAAGGCCUUCGGGUCGUAAAACUCUGUCAACAGGGAAGAAAUGCAUGGUGGUUAAUACCCAUCAUGCUUGACGGUACCUGUAGAGGAAGCUCCGGCUAACUCCGUGCCAGCAGCCGCGGUAAUACGGGGGGAGCAAACGUUGUUCGGAUUCACUGGGCGUAAAGGGAGCGUAGGCGGCCUGGUAAGUGGGAAGUGAAAUCCUUCGGCUCAACCGAAGGCCUGCUUUCCAAACUGCUUGGCUUGAGUCCGGGAGGGGAGACGGGAAUUCCUGGUGUAGCGGUGAAAUGCGCAGAUAUCAGGAGGAACACCGGUGUCGAAGGCGCGUCUCUGGACCGGUACUGACGCUGAGGCUCGAAAGCGUGGGGAGCAAACAGGAUUAGA
rnacentral:rRNA from 1 species